UACGUAGGGGGCGAGCGUUGUCCGGAAUUACUGGGCGUAAAGGGCGCGUAGGCGGCUUGUGUAAGUCCGCUGUGAAAGACCGAGGCUCAACCUCGGGGUGUCAGCGGAGACUGCGAGGCUUUGGGUAUCGGAGAGGAGCAGGGAAUCCCUGGUGUAGCGGUGGAAUGCGUAGAGAUCAGGGGGAACACCGAUGGCGAAGGCACUGCUCUGGCCGAAGACCGACGCUGAGGCGCGAAAGCUGGGGGAGCGAACGGG
rnacentral:rRNA from 1 species